CUAAAAAUAACUGGAAGGCUAACUCCUAUGAUGAAAGUCUAUGAUUCGUUGAAGCCGGCGCGCGGGAAAAUCAGCUUUCAAAAGGACUAAGGAGAGUUUCUAGGAGUGAAAAAAAUUCUGCCAAAAGUUUGUUUUCGAGCAAAAAUUUGCAAGAAAAACACUUUUUCCAUGGGAAUACAACAAUGAUUGGGAUUUAAACCAGGUUUUCCGAUUAGUCCCAACUGUUUUACAUCUCUCUGCAGCAAAAAGUAAGGAGUUUUGCUUUUGUAUUUUGAAAAAAUGACGAAAGUUUGGACGUGCCGAAGGAAACCUCGCCGUUCAACUCAAAAAUAUAUACUAUAAAACAUUUUGACAGUCCCAAAAUUUAUGUUGUACUAAACCCUAGGUAUUGUUAUUGAUCCUGAGCUUUUAGUCCUUGUUUUAGUCGCUUUUAAACAUAAAUAAAUUGGCGUUUUUCAAGUGAUGUUAUUUUCGUCAUCGGCAUCUUGUUGGCCACUAUGAGCAUUUUGAAUAUGGCAUAUUUUUGUCAAUUUUCAAAUGCUUUUUUUUCGACCUUAAAACUUUCAAUCUUCUUGAAACUUCGCAUACAGAUGUAUUUUGCAUGGGUUUAAAUAAUUCCUGAGGUAUGACGUCUUAGUUUUAUCUUAAACUUCCAAAAACUCAGAAAAAGCAGCCUAAAACGCGCG
rnacentral:lncRNA from 1 species